rnacentral:rRNA from 1 species
UACGGAGGGUGCAAGCGUUAUCCGGAUUCACUGGGGUUAAAGGGUGCGUAGGCGGGCAGGUAAGUCAGUGGUGAAAUCCUGGAGCUUAACUCCAGAACUGCCAUUGAUACUAUCUGUCUUGAAUAUUGUGGAGGUAAGCGGAAUAUGUCAUGUAGCGGUGAAAUGCUUAGAUAUGACAUAGAACACCUAUUGCGAAGGCAGCUUACUACGCAUAUAUUGACGCUGAGGCACGAAAGCGUGGGGAUCAAACAGG